CGCAGAGGACACGCCAGCUCGCCCGCUCGCAGACGCAGGAGGACUCACAGGUCCUCCCAUGUCACCGACGUAGGAGAGUUGUCCGACGCAGACGCUAGGCAACGCCAAUAAACAUGCAUUUUUAGGUCUGUGUGAAUGUGGGCCGAGCAUUUACCUCGGCUGAACU